rnacentral:rRNA from 1 species
AACGAACGCUGGCGGCAGGCUUAACACAUGCAAGUCGAACGCCCCGCAAGGGGAGUGGCAGACGGGUGAGUAACACGUGGGAACGUGCCCAAAGGUACGGAACAACUCCGGGAAACUGGAGCUAAUACCGUAUGUGUCCGCAAGGAGAAAGAUUUAUCGCCUUUGGAUCGGCCCGCGUCGGAUUAGCUAGUUGGUGGGGUAAUGGCCUACCAAGGCGACGAUCCGUAGCUGGUUUGAGAGAACGACCAGCCACACUGGGACUGAGACACGGCCCAGACUCCUACGGGAGGCAGCAGUGGGGAAUCUUGGACAAUGGGCGCAAGCCUGAUCCAGCCAUGCCGCGUGGAUGACGAAGGCCUUAGGGUUGUAAAAUCCUUUCGUCAGGGACGAUAAUGACGGUACCUGAAGAAGAAGCCCCGGCUAACUUCGUGCCAGCCGCCGCCGUAA